GGAAUAAAAGUCGUAACAAGGUUUCCGUAGGUGAACCUGCGGAAGGAUCAUUACUGAGUGAGGGCCCCUCGGGGUCCAACCUCCCACCCGUGUUUAACGAACCUUGUUGCUUCGGCGGGCCCGCCUCACGGCCGCCGGGGGGCAUUUGCCCCCGGGCCCGCGCCCGCCGAAGCCACCUGUGAACGCUGUCUGAAGUAUGCAGUCUGAGACAAUUAUUAAAUUAAUUAAAACUUUCAACAACGGAUCUCUUGGUUCCG
rnacentral:misc_RNA from 1 species